GCAUUGCGUACAUCAAUGAAAUGGUCAAAGAAAACUUAAAAUACAACAACCAUUUUUUAGAAGUAGAAGUUGCCUACCAUUUUAAUUCCAAGCCCUAAGAUGACUUAUUUUAAUCUCUAUUGGAAAGGAAUUGCUCUAGGAACAGUGAGUGAUUCUGAAGGGUGGCCCAAAGUUGCCCCCAAUGCGAUUUGACCUACAUGUUGUCAGAUGCAGGGAGGGUAUGACCUCACAGAAGAAUGGUUCAUUACUGCUCUGUCAGGUUUCAGUAAUGAGCACACACCAGUCACCUUGGCAGAAAGGCAUCCUCCAGAUGGCCUGUCAGCCCCGAAGAUGUGGGUUACAACAGUGUCCCAUAGCUUCAUUGCUAAAGACAAGAUGGGUCUAGAUACUCUUCAUCAAGUUCCAGAAGCCAGACUCUUAGAGAGCUAAAUCCAACAAGUUGGAUGUUGGCAGAACCAUGGAGAGUCUCGAGGGACAGCCUGCUUCUAUACUUAUCUCCAGGCUCCUGAGCUGUGUUCCUUGACCCCCUGCCUCACCUCCACCUUCCAAGCCAGCACUGUAGCAUCUUCC
rnacentral:lncRNA from 1 species